CCGCCACCACGUGGGCGUGGGUGUACAGCGACGCGCCGGCGCCAGCGGGGCUGCCUGCCCGGCUGGCGGCCGCGGUCGGCCACGUGCGGAGCGCGGGCGUGGAACAGCAUCCACCGCAGCCAGCCACUCAGCCGCCAGCGGCGCCGCCACAGUGGCGGGUUAGCCUGGACCAGCUGUGGGUGGCUAACGCUGCGGGGGCUGUGUCCUACGUCCACUACACGGGGCGGCUCUUGGAGCCUGGGCCUGGCGUGCUGCCCCCGGCGGUGGAUGGGGCGUGGCAGCCUGCCUGUGUGCUGCAGCAUCGCAAGCCGCGGCACCUGUGGACCUUUGAAGAGCGGGCGGCGUACGAUGCAGCAUCA
rnacentral:lncRNA from 1 species